CUAAUUUCGUUAAGCCUAAUUGAUUUAUUCCCUUUACCCAUCCUAACACCUAACCAAACUAGCCCAAACCCGUACCCAGUUCGGUCCAAACCCGCUCAACUACCAACGACGUCGUUUUGGACUCCCAUCAUCUAAGCCAUUGAUUUCGCUUAAUCUAACGGAUCAAAGCUAACUUCCCCUAACUAUUUAAGUGUCUGAAACCCGCCUCCCUCUCCCCCCUCCCUGACGUCUCUCUCAACCCUCCGUCUUCAGAGACCAAACCUUCAAGAGCCCUAAUCUGCCGCCCAUUUUUCCACCAUGUUUAGCCAGCGGCGCCACCUCCAAACCAACCCAAAUUAACACCACACAACCCCAAUGACCCCCUCAUACCUAAUCCAUCACUAGUUUUCCUUGAAUCUGUCUAGAACUCCUCGAAUCUUAAAUUCGAGUUUGAGCCUUAAAAAUCUAAAAUCAUUUUUCAUCGAACCUAGUGGCAUGCAUGAUCGUAUGUUGUUGUUUCUUUGAAGUUUUGAAGUUUUCAUUCAACGAGGACUAAUGUUGUUCAGUUGUUCUUGACAAAGAACAAAUGUUUAACAUUAGUCUCGUUAGAUCAAGGUCUCCAACAGGUUGUUGAUUUCUUUUACUCUAGUUGAAAACUUGACGAAUCUUCUGAAUUCAAAUUAUUUUUUCGUUUGUUCCAUUCUUUUUCAAAUCGUGAAAGCUUGUUCUCUGAUUCUCUUGGUCCGUUAAGUUUCGUAAAUUAGAUUGAUUAAAGUUCUAAUUUCAUCUUUUGUUUAGUCACCUAGUUUAAUUUAAUUAGGUUUAUUUUUGAUAAUUUAGUUGAUUUCCAGCCUUGGUGUUAGUUAGUCAGUCAAUUAAUUUAAGUUUUAGUUUUGAAUUCAUUUAGAUGUUUUCUCCUGUUUAGCAUAGAUUAUUGAUUUGGUUUCACCGUUGCUCUUUGGGCUUUGAAGCCAUGUUAGACUUCAUUUGAAGAGGUCUAUUUAGAUAAUUGGGUCAGAAUCGAGCCCAAGUAUGGCUAAGUCAUUGGGUCAAAUUGACCCAUAAAUUUUCUGAGGGUAACUAACAGGUCCUAAAGGGGUAUUUAGGAACUCUAGGUUGGGAAAAUCUCAGUAUCUGAAUUAUGAAGCUUCCUAGAAGCUGGGGUGGGGACUAGACUGAAAAUCUGAUGUUUACAUUAAGAAUACUUAAGCAAAAAUCAAAUAUCAAAAGGGUAAAAGUGCAAAACUGAAUUCCCUUAGGCUGCCCUAAAACUUACCUAUAAAGACACCUUUUCUUCAAGCUCAAGUCAGAUUUGGAGAGAAAGAAUCCCCGAAAAAGCUGAAAUGGUUGAGUUCUUUAAAAAAUUUCUGAAUUUCUGUAUUUCGUGGUUGAAGACUACCAAAAUUCUGCUUGUUUGGAUUUCUGAUUUCUCCUUGUUAGCUAAAGCACUUGAAAAUUUCACUUGAUACACUUCUGGUUUGAGAAAUGGCUUGAACUUUAGUUUGAAGCUGGGUUUGGAUUUGCUAUUCUUUCACUGUUUCAUUGAUUGUUCUUUUAUGCUAUGUUAGUUCAUUUAAGCUGUUGUAACAUGUUGGUAUGUUUGGAUGGUGUUGUGUUCAUGCAAUUGGGUAGCUGAAUAUGUUAUUAAAUUUAGUGGGAUAAUCAUGUUUCAAGGGAGGGAAAUGGUCCAGAAUACUCUAAGAAUUGAGCUAUGCAUUUGAUUUGAUCUUGAUUUACUUGUGACCAUAUUUAAGUGUGAAUAUUAAAAAUGCAGAAUGCUUAAUUAGUAGGUUGGUGUUUUAACAGUAAAAAUUCAGAAAGAAACGUCAGUUUUAGUUUGUAUUUUGUAUGGUCUUAGUUGGUUGGGCAUUUAAUUUUUUUUGCACAAGUGUUUGGGUCUGAAGAUUAGGCCUAAUGCUGGCCCAACUGAUAAAAGUCUAAUUUCAUAUGCAUGGGUUGUGUCAUAAACGCCUUUUCUUCUACCAAGAAUUGGGCUCAUUUUUGGGCUUGAAAGCAUUUGCUCAUUGGAUUGCUCGUCUUUUGUUGUUCGAGCCUAUUUUAUUUUCAUCAAAUCCAGUGACAUGUUCAAGUUGCCGCUAUCUGGGAUGAUUUCCUUAAGUAAUUGAGUAUCCAAACAAAGUUUAUUAGUUUGUUAAAUAAGUUCGACCUUUUAGUGUAAAAAAUAAGAAUCCCAUAAAGUCUUCCUUUAUUAAUUAGCCACUUGAAAAUAGUUUGAAGUGUGCCAUAUUAGCCAAACACAUAAUUUAUGGCCCUCAAAAAAUAGUUUGAGCUUUUCCUUUAAAAAUGAAAAUCGACGUGUGCCGUGCCAACUAAAAUCUCAAAAUGCAUGGCCCUCACUUAAAUAAUAUUUUAAUCCUUAGAAAACGAGGCGCACCAUUUUGUUGAAUUUUCAUGACCCUCGCAAACUUGAAAGUGUUUAGUUACUUUAGGCGUGCUAUUUUAAAGAAUUACCUUCCUAAACUCGGGUAUGCAUUUCAUGUGACUCAAAUCCAAAUCUCAACAGCGUCAAAUAAAAUGUAUUUCGAACUGCGGGUGCAUUUCAUAUGGCGUGGUCCAAAGACGCAUUUUAGAUGAUAUUGAAAUCUUCCUUAAAAUAAAUAAAAGCGAUUUAAUAAGUUAAAAUAUACCAUAGGCUAAAAGAUGUACUUAAAUUAGAUAAUAGGCCUGUACUAGAACUACAUAAUUCGGGGGUGCCUAACACCUUCACCGGGUUAAGAAAAUUUAUUAUUCAGCAUUUCUGGUUCGCAGACUUCAAAAGGAAAGUCGAAUUUUCCUCGAUUUGGAAUUAAAAAUAAAAUCGGUAACUUGGGACACCAAUAAAAGAUUUGAAGUGGUGACUUUGAUUCAAAUAAAUAAUCACGUUUCGAAUAAUGUCACUUUAAUUGAAAAAAUUUCCUUAUAUCACCUUCAGGAAUGUAAAGACGAGGUGUGACAAAGUAAAUUGUUCCACUAAAGGCAUCAAGAAGAUGCUAAAAUUUACAAAGUGUAAGUCCUUGGUUAACUCUAUAAGACCAUAAAACCUAUACAACUAGGAGUUAACCAAGAGCGAAAAACCAAAAGAAUGACUAUUAAGCCAUUUUAAGAGAGCUAAUGAAAUCUAAGAGGGGAAUAACAUCAUUUUCAGGGGAAAGGUUACUCCAACUAAACAGGUUCAAUAGACACUUAGAUUUCAGCAGGCUGGUGGAAGUUGGAAUGUCGUCAAAACACCUUAUUUCCUUUCUAUUCAGAUACUCCCACAAAUACAUGCUGGGAUAAUUUUCUAGGUCUUUUGAUGGUUGUACAAACUUUCCAAGAGCACCAGCCUUCGAUUGCUUCCUUGAUAUCCUGAGGAACUAAGGCAAAAAAACAGCUAAGAACAUAUUCUAUAUAUAUAUGUUGCCACUGGAUAGUGCAAGAAGAGACGAUUUACUGAUUCUGUAUUGCUAUAGCACAUGUAGCAACUAGUUGAACGUUUCUUCUGCAUAAGUUGUCCCGAGUGAAGGUAGAAUUUCUGAGAGCAAUAUAAGAGAAGUACAUUACUUUUGUAGGUAAUUUUGACCUCCAUAUAUGCUUCAAUGGUCAAUUAUCAAUCAUUCCAUUUGAUGCACAUAGUUUGUUGUACCCAACCUUCACCGUAAAUGUACCAUUGCUAUAAUUACCCCACUUUAGGCUAUCUAUGGUGAAACCUUCAAUGAUUCUGUAGAGGUCAAAGAGUUCAUCUAGCUCUCAAUCCUGCAUGUUCCUUCUGAAAUGAGGUUCCUAUAUCUUCCAUAUUCUGUUCUAGGCUAUUGUUGAAUCAGGAUCAAUAGCUAUCUAAUAUAUGCCAGGGUGUGAAUCUUUUAGAGGUUGGUUUUGGAGACACCUAUCCUUCCAGAAUUUGACAGAGCUGCCAUUCCCUACUCUAAAGGAUACCCCUUGAAAGAAUUCCUCUUUUAUAUUGUUGGUAUGUUUCCAAGGCCCUACUCCAUAUGGAGUUCUGCUUUGCUUUAUGCUCCAAUUGUCUAGCUUCUCAUACUUGUUGUUACCACCUUCUUCCAUAUGCUCGUUCUUUCCUGUGCAUACCUCCACCACCACUUCAAUAUCAGGCUCUUGUUGUGCUUUUGUAGAUCUCUAAUACCUACUCCACCUUGGUUAUUUGGCUUGGACCACUUAACCGGGUGGAAUUUAUGGCAUUCACUGUUGCCCUCCCAUAGAAAAACUCUCCUGAUUUUGUCCAGUUGCUCUUGGACUUUGCUUGUCAUAGGAAAAAGAGACAUGAUGUAAGUUGGAAUGCUAUCCAGAACACUACUGAUCAGUGUCAGUCUCCCCACCAUUGACAUAUACUGCAUUUUCCAGGUUUCCAGUCUUCUCUCUACCUUUUCAAUGACGUCAUUCCAAACUUCAGCGGCUUUGUACUUUGCUCCUAAAGUAAGGUCUAGGUAUGUUGUAGGGUAAGAUCCAGUACCACAGCCAAUAAUUCCAGCUACUUCCUCCAGAUUAGGCACCUCAUUCACAAAGUAGAUUACACUUCUCACCAUAUUGAUGUGCAGCCCUGAGAUGGCUUCAAAAAGGAGUUGUGUCAAGUUUCGGUAUUAUCCUUGUUGCUUCUCUGUCUCACAAAAAAUUAAGGUGUCAUCUACAUAUAAAAAAUGAGAGACUGGAUCUGAGAUGUCAGUAUUGUUGCCCGCCUUGAACCCUUCAAUACACUACAUUUGUUUUGCAUUGUCAAGCAUUCUGCUUAAAUCAUUCAUGGCUAAGAUGAAUAAGAAAGGGGGUAGGAGGUCUUUUUGCCUUAUCCCUUUUUGUGGGGAAAAGAAACCUACUAGAGUUCUAUUGAUUAGGAUGGAGUAUUUAACAAUGGUCAGGCUAAAUUUAAUCCAUCUAUCACCAAACCCCAUAUCUUUCAACAUGAAAAGUAAAUAUGCCCAAUUGACUUUAUCAAAAUUCUUUCUCUACAUCUAGCUUGCAUAGAAUGCAUGGGGCUCCACUCUUUAAUCUCCCAUACAACUACUCAUUUGCUGCAAUAGAAGCAUUUGUGAUCUGUCUGUUUUUUUAGGAAUGUAUUUUGCUCUUCUGAUACCAACUUCCAAAUGAGUGUCUUCAACCCUUUAGCUAUGAUCUUGUAUACAAUUCCAAUGAGACUUAUAGGCUUGAAGUCUCUGAGUUCUAUUGCACCUCUCUUUUGGGGACUAAUGUAAUAAAAGAGCCAUUGCAAGGCCUGGCCAUGUAGCCACACUUGUGUAAGUAGUUAAGGUUACCCAUUAGAUCUGCUUUAAUUAUAUUCCAUGUUCUUUGAUAGAAAGAUAUCGUAAAUCCAUCAGGGCUUGGAAUUUUAUCUGGUGCACAAGAUUUAAUUGCUGCUUUCACCUCUUCUUCUUCAAAUGCUCUUUCUAGCCAUAUCUUCUCUCCUGCUGUUAGGGUAGCUAGAUUUUCAAACUUAGCACUAGGCCUCCAAGGUUUGUUUUCAGUGUACAAAUCUUGAUAGAAAGUCAGGAUUUCAGCCUUAAUUUCUUCAUUGUCUUCACUGAUUUCCUCCCCAAUCAUCAAUAUAUCUAUGCAGUUAUUCCUUCUGUGGGAGUUAGCCAUUUUCUAAAAAAGAUUGGUAUUUCUAUCACCUUCUUUGAGCCAUAGACACUUGGACUUUUGCCUCUAUGAGACCCCAUCUGCCUUUUCCAUCUAUUGUAGCUCAAGCUUUAUGAGCAUUGAUUCUUCUUUUUCUGCUUAUAUCAUUAGUCUGUUUCAUUUUCAGAUUCUAGUAGAGCUAGAUCUUCCAGAAGUUUGGUCUUCCUUGCUUCCAGCUGGCCAAAGGACUCCUUGUUCGAGCUUGUAAUGUCUUUUUUCAGACACCUUAAUUUUUGCAGAAGUAUGAAGUCUUGGCUACCAUCAACUGCAUAGCUGAGCCACCAUUCCUUGACCUUGUCCAUGAAGCCAUCAUCUUGAAGCCAUAUAUUUUCAAACUUAAAAUAUGAGAGGUGGCUGCCCAAUCACCAUAUUCCAAUAACAGGGGUAUGUGAUUAGAGACAACUCUAGGGAGGGCUAGUUGGUUAAUUGCUCUGAAGUUGUCAUUCCAUUCUGGGGAAAUGAGGAACUUGUCAAUUCUAGAUGUCUGAUGUGAGUCUUCACCCCUAAACCAAGUGUAGUGGGCCCCUUGGAUAGGCAAGUCUAUGAUGCCCAAAUCUUGUAUGGUUUCAGUGAAAGAUUUCAUGGCCCUGGAUCUCCUUAUGCAGUUAUAUCUUUCACUCUCAUACCUACAGACAUUGAAGUCACCCCCUAUGACCCAUUUAUCUUCCUAAAUUCCCCUGAUGGCUGCAAGCUCAUGCUAAGGAAUCUCUCUCUGAGUUAUUGUGAGGCCCACUGGCCCUUGUAAAACACCAUCUAACCCAUUGACCCCUGUGAAACACCAUCUAAAGUUCUCUUGUGUGUUUUCAAACAUGCAUAAAAUUGUGUAAUGGCCUUGGUGCACCCCCAUGUUAAGCCAUUUUUAUUCGUCCCAAAGAACAAUGAUACCACAAAUUCUUCUGAUUAACUUCCGUUCUGCCCAGUCAACCCAUCUAUUACCCUAGACUAGCCUAUAUCUAGUAUGGAGACCAUUUUUCUAUUUUUGUCUCUUGGAGACAGACUAUAUCUGUUUUUCAUUUGUCAAUCAGUGACUUUAUUGUGCUUAUUUUUUCCGCUUCAUUUAAACCCCGUACAUUCCAACAUAGAAUUUUGAUCUUCAUCCAGAAAAAGCUUUGUAAUGCAUAUCCCUUUCCCUACCUUCUUACCAUUAUAAUUCAAUCCCCAUCUCGGCCUUUCCAUAUCUCAUGAUUGUUUAUUCUUCCCUUUUGUGAUGGCAUUGAUUGAUGUUUUCUGCUUUUGAAUUUGCUCUUGUUUUUUUUUGUUUGCUCCAUUCGAAGGACCAUGGCAAAUAUUUCAUGUUAUAACCCCACAAUAUUUACCCCAAAAACCUUGCACGCUUUGAGCAUCAUUGACUUGGUCUAUUGUGAGGUUUCAAUAGUUGUUUGUGACCAAUGUCUUGUGAAUUUGGAUGGCCCAUAUCAUACCAGGGAAGAGACGGUGUAUAACAAGAGGAUGUAUUAGCUUCAGAGAUACUUACAGUUUCAAAGUGACUUGUUAAUGGGGAUCUUGGAAUAACUAGUUCUGCCCCGUCAUCUGCGUCUGAAGGAGAUUCGCAUGCAUGUGAUGGAGUUUGCUGCUCUGAGAUUUGAUCUUCUAUUGU
rnacentral:lncRNA from 1 species